rnacentral:lncRNA from 1 species
UUUAACAAUUUAAAUGCAUUAAAUUUGAAAAAAAUAUUUUUUGUAUAAAAUUAUUUAAUUAACAAAGAAAAUAAAGGAAUGAGGGGAAGAUGAUAAAGAAUAGGGAGGAGAAAUUAAUAAAAUAUAGAAUAAAUAGGAGGGGGAAAAGAAAGAAUAAAAGGGUGAAUUGAGUAUCCAGAGCAAAAGAGGAGUAGAAGAGAGAAGAGAA